rnacentral:tRNA from 1 species
UAGUAAAAUAAGCUAAAUAAGCUUUUGGGCCCAUACCCCAAAAAUGUUGGUUAAUCUCCCUCUUUUACUAA